CAAAACACAAUACGCUAUUGCCGAAGCUCGCUCGUGAUCAGUCUGUCUCUUUCACGCUACAAGCAAAUAAUUCCCCUUCUACUUUCUUCCGUGCUGUUUUCAUAUACCGCUCCCCUAACCAACUUAGUGACGAAACGGCCUCACCUAGUACCAUAGACCCGUCUUGAUUUGUUCAACACGGGGUCAUUUGUCAGUCCAACGUCAGUUCAAUGGUAUUUUGAUCAGGCUUCUCGGAAUUAGGACCCUGAAUGUGUUGUUUCUGUGCAGCUUUUUGAAACUGACAACCCUUGUUUCGUGCAUAUCGAUGGCUUGGAAGAACAAUAUCGUCGAAAACUGAUACCAACAGCUGUUCCUACUGUCAGAAAGGCCAACGAUUCUCAUGCCUCGAAAAAUCAAAACAGGACGGCUCGCUGGAAGGUCUAGAUUGAAAUCAAGCAAGAGUUGAAUCCAGGAAAAACAUCCGUAACAUCCACGGAAUCGGCUCAGC